AAGUCGUAGGUUUCCGUAGGUGAGCCUGCGGAAGGAUCAUUCACACGUAUCCAACGUUAAACCCCCCUAAUUUUAUCGCUGCUCUUGCAGACGCCGGCAAGUUUGCAAUCCCUGGUAAAUCAUUGUUAAACAGAUUUUCAGGGACCUCUAACCCGGUAGAUCUAUAGCUGCAAUUUGAGCGCUGGCCUGGUUUCCCCAAGCAGCUAGUGUCUGAAAGUGUCGCUAGUUGUGUAAGGAAAACGCUUUACGAUCGCUGGAGGCCAAACACCGGCCGGUGCUGCUGUGGCUUUAUGCCCCACUACCUUUCCUCGGGUCGCAGGAAACUGCUUCCCAUCAACCGAACAACUGUUAACAAUGGAUAUCUUGGUUCUC
rnacentral:misc_RNA from 1 species